rnacentral:rRNA from 1 species
GAUGAACGCUGGCGGCGUGCUUAACACAUGCAAGUCGAACGGAAAGGCCCAAGCUUGCUUGGGUACUCGAGUGGCGAACGGGUGAGUAACACGUGGGUGAUCUGCCCUGCACUUCGGGAUAAGCCUGGGAAACUGGGUCUAAUACCGGAUAGGACCACGUCUUGGAUGUUGUGGUGGAAAGUUUUUUCGGUGUGGGAUGAGCUCGCGGCCUAUCAGCUUGUUGGUGGGGUAAUGGCCUACCAAGGCGUCGACGGGUAGCCGGCCUGAGAGGGUGUACGGCCACAUUGGGACUGAGAUACGGCCCAGACUCCUACGGGAGGCAGAAGUGGGGAAUAUUGCACAAUGGGCGCAAGCCUGAUGCAGCGACGCCGCGUGGGGGAUGACGGCCUUCGGGUUGUAAACUCCUUUCGCUAGGGACGAAGCGUUUUUGUGACGGUACCUGGAGAAGAAGCACCGGCUAACUACGUG